rnacentral:rRNA from 1 species
AGGACCUACGGGAGGCAGCAGUAGGGAAUUUUCGUCGAUGGGCGCAAGCCUGAACGAGCAAUGCCGCGUGAACGAGGAAGGUCUUCGGAUCGUAAAGUUCUGUUGAAGGGGAAAAAGAGCGGAGAGAGGAAAUGGUCUCCGAUUGAUAUUACCCUUCGAGGAAGUCACGGCUAACUACGUGCCAGCAGCCGCGGUAAUACGUAGGAUCCGAGCGUUAUCCGGAUUUAUUGGGUUUAAAGGGUGCGUAGGCGGUUUGAUAAGUUAGAGGUGAAAUUUCGGGGCUCAACCC